rnacentral:rRNA from 1 species
ACCCGCUGAAUUUAAGCAUAUAAGUAAGCGGAGGAAAAGAAACUCAAGAGGAUUCCCUUAGUAAUGGCGAAUGAACAGGGGUAAGCUCAGAGUGGAAAUCGGGGCCUUUCUGGCUUCGAAUUGUGAUCUCGAGAUGUACAACCAGCAUGGGGUGCAGGUAUAAGCCUUUUGGAAAAGAGCACCAGCGAGGGUGAGAGUCCCAUUCGUUACCUGUAGCCCCCAGUGCAUGGUGUGCAUUCUAAGAGUCACGCUCCUCGGGAUUGGAGCGCAAAGUGGGUGGUAAAUUUCAUCUAAAGCUAAAUACGGGCCUGAGACCGAUAGCACACAAGUACCCUGAGGGAAAGGUGAAAAGGACUUUGGAAAGAGAGUUAAACAGAGCCUGCCAUUGCUGAAAGGGAAGCGAACGAAAUCAGUGUGACUGGGCGAGAUCGGGCCGUGCCAUGGUGAGCUUCUGCGAACUGGACGUGCGGCUCAUUUCUUGCCCUGUCGGUCAACAGUGCUGCAAGCGCGAGGAAAAGAGUAUUGGACUGUCAGCUCGCCUACGGGGGAGUGAAUGCCUUUGCUACUACUUGCGCGUGUAGUGCCGCUUGGCUAUAUGGUUUCUUUCGACCCGUCUUGAAACACGGACCAAGGAGUCUAACAUAUGUGCGAGUUUGCAGUGUUUAAACCUGUUAGCGCAAUGAAAGUGACUGCUAGAAAUUGUGCACUGGCAACCGACCAAUCGCUUGAGAAAGGUUUGAGUAUGAGCAUGUCUGUUAGGACCCGAAAGAUGGUGAACUAUGCCCGUGA